GCCCAUGUAGCUCAGUGGUAGAGCACUCCCUUGGUAAGGGAGAGGUCGACAGUCCGAUUCUGUCCAUGGGCACCA
rnacentral:tRNA from 4 species